CUUUGAUCCAUCUUGAAUUGAUUUUUGUAUAAGGUGAGAGAUGAGUAUCCAGCUUCAUUCUUCUCCAUGUGGCUUGCCAAUUAUUCCAGAAGCUUGUUUUUUUUUUUAAAUGAAGAAAUGGUAAAGAAGCAAGCAAGAAGAGUCAGUCUGAGGCUCCUCACUGUGACGGACUGAGGAGCUUUAUUUACUCCCUGCGGAUAGUGGCCUGCCACCAGAGAGGCCACAGGCCGGAGUGAUGGAGCUGACUCAUAGGGUAAGGAGAAAGUGGCCUGGAUCGUUGACAGAGGGUGUGGUCUUUUUGUUUGGUAAUUUUAAACUACAUUCUUGAAAAAGUUUCUCAAGAUUCAAGCAAUUCCUAGGACUGUAUGUACACUUGGGGAACAUUUCUUAAAAUACAUAACGAAUUCAAAUUAAUAAGAAAAAGACAACCCAGAAGAAAAAUGGACACGUGAAUUAAUCAGAAACUCAAGAGGUGGCGUAUAUUUGAGCAUGGAUCUAAAUGAGGUGAAGGAUUGAGAUGGCUGCUUGGGGAAGAACUUUCCAGGCAUGAAUGAAUGCCUGAAUUGAGCAUCUCCACUUCCUGAUAUGAGAGAAGAGACGUAACAAAGAUUCCUCCAGAACCAAAAGGAUCCGAGAUAAGGCUAACUUGAUUAACGUGCUUAAUGUGAAUGCCACACCUUGGGUUUCCCAGGAAGAAGACUCUCAGAUGAAGACCAGUGUUUAGGAAGCUUAUUAGGAAUGCUUGCGGGAUCAACACCUGCUGGGGAAGAAAGGCAGCAAGAUUGGGCAGAGGACAGAGUUGGGCUAUGGUGCAGUCUCAGUGGAGGUUUCCAUCGGCCAUCGGGAGUUCUGAAGCUGGGCUGGCCCUUCGGGGUGGUCCCAAGUUGGGGGCUGGAUCUUUAUGCCUCGCCUUAGUCCAUCAUUAGAUGUUGGCCAUCCCAGGAAGGAGUAUGACCUUGGGCUCACUGUGGUUCCAGCUCCCAUAAAGGAAUCUCUCAGUCCCUGGCUCUGGCCACACCACUGUGGUAGAUGUGAGGUACUCAGGUCCUCUUUAAGGAAGGACUUGCUGCCCAACGGCAGGUGCUGCAGCCAGCAUCCAGCUGUCAGCCCCUACAGGGUCAGCCUUACUUGCAGAGAACCACCUUGCUCGAGGUCAUGCCCUUCCUGAAGCAGCUGGCAUCCGAUGUUGACCCCUCAUGAACACCUUGCACUCCAGUAUAUUUCUAAGUGCUUCUGAGAGCCCGGCCUGCAACACCACUUCUCCCCUCUGCCUCCAGCCUAGAGAUGGGAAUGGCUUCCUGCUGGUGCUAAUCUCUAGGUGGCCUCACCAUGUCCCAUUUGGACACUCUGCUCUUGCAUCAUCCAUGUAAUCAAUUAACUGCAUUAAAUCCCCAUCUCUUUAAAUAAAGUAGGUUCUGACACAGCCAACAUUAUACUGAAUGGGGAAAAGUUGAAAGCGUUCCUCCUGAGAACUGGAACAAGACAAGGAUGUUCACUUUCACCACUUCUAUUCAACAUAGUACUGGAAGUCCUAGCCAGAGCAAUCAGACAAGAGAAGGCAAUAAAGGACAUCCAAAAAAGUAAAGAGGAAGUCAAACUGUCACUGUUUGCUGAUGAUAUGAUUGUAUACCUAGAAAACCCUAAGAACUUAUCCAAAAAGCUCCUAGAACUGAUUAAUGAAUUCAGUAAAGUUUCAGGAUACAGAAUUAAUGUACACAAGUCAGUAGCACUGCUGUACACCAACAGUAACCAAGCUGAGAAUCAAAUCAAGAACUCAGCCUCUUUUACAAUAGCUGCAAAAAAUAAAAUAAAAUACUGAGGAAUAUACCUGUUACCAAGGAGGUGAAAGACCUCUACAAUGAAAACUAUAAAACACUGCUGAAAGAAAUCAUAGAUGACACAAACAAAUGGAAACACAUCUCAUGCUCAUGGAUGGGUAGAAUCAAUAUCGUGAAAAUGACCAUACUGCGAAAAGCAAUCUACAAAUUCAGUGCAAUUCCCAUCACAGUAUCACCAACAUUCUUCACAAAGCUGGAAAAAGCAAUCCUAAAAUUCAUAUGGAAUGAAAAAAGAGCCCGCAUAGCCAAAGCAAUACUAAGCAAAAAGAACAAAUCUAGAGGCGUCACAUUACCCAACUUCGAACUAUACUAUAAGGCCAUAGUCACCAAAACAGCAUGGUACUGGUAUAAAAUAGGUACAUAAACCAAUGGAACAGAAUAGAGAACCCAGAAAUAAAGCUGGAUACUUAUAGCUAACGAGUCUUCAACAAAGCAAACAAAAUAAAGUGGGGAAAGGACACCCCAUUCAACAAAUGGUGCUGGGAUAAUUGUCAAGCCACAUGUAGAAAAAAUGAAACUGGAUCCUCAUCUCUCAUUUUAUACAAAAAUCAACUCAAGAUGGAUCAAAGACUUAAGUCUAAGACCUGAAACCAUAAAAAUUCUAGAAGAUAACAUUGGAAAAACCCUUCUAGACAUUGGCAUAGGCAAAGACUUCACGACCAAGAACCCAAAAGAAAAUGCAACAGAAACAAAGAUAGAUAGGUAGGACUUAAUUAAACUAAAUUACUUCUACACAGCAAAAGAAAUUAUCAGUAUAGACCACCCACAGAAUAGGAGAAAAUCUUUGCAAUCUAUACAUCUGACAAAGGAUUAAUAUCCAGAAUCUACAAGGAACUCAGAUCAGCAAGAAAAAAACAAAGAAUCCCAUCAAAAAAUGGGCUAAGGACAUGAAUAAACAAUUCUCAAAAGAUGUACAAAGGGCCAACAAACAUAUGAAAAAAUAUUCAACAUCACUAAUUAUCAGGGAAAUGCAAAUCAAAACCACAAUGAGAUGCUACCUCACUCCUGCAAGAAUGGCCAUAAUCAAAGAUCAAAAAUAAUAGAUGUUGGCAUGGAUGUGAAGAAAAGGGAACACUUUUACACUGCUGGUGGGAAUGUAAACUAGUACAACCACCAUGGAAAACAGUGUGGAGAUUCCUUAAAGAACUAAAAAUAGAUGUACCAUUUGAUCCAGUGAUCCCACUACUAAGUAUCUACCCAGAGGAAAAGAAGUUAUUAUACUAAAAAGAUACUUGCACAUGGAUGUUUAUAGCAGCACAAUUCGCAAUUGCAAAAAUAUGGAACCAGCCCAAAUGCCCAUCAAUCAAUGAGUGGAUAAAGAAAAUGUGAGGGAUAAAAGACUACACAUUGGGUACAGUGUAUACUGCUUGUGUGAAGGGUGCACCAAAAUCCCAGAAGUCACCACUAAAGGACUUAUUCAUGUAACCAAACACCACCUGUUCCCCAAAAACCUAUUGAAAUGGAAAAUAAAUAAAGUAGGUUCUGUUUUCCUGGCUAGACACUGCCUGAUAUAGUGAGUUUUACAUCUAAACUUCAGUUUAUAUUCUCAUUUCCCUUGCUAAUCUAGUAUUUUAUAAGGGGGCCCUCAACUCAUAAAUAUAUAUUAAUAUAUAUAUGUUUGUGUGUAUAUAUUCCUCAUCUGCAACCAAACGCAGAUCGAAAAUACAGUAUUCCUGGAAUGUGACACCCACGUGUAUCAAGGGCCGAC
rnacentral:lncRNA from 1 species